UGACCUCGGAUCAGGUAGGGAUACCCGCUGAACUUAAGCAUAUCAAUAAGGCGGAGGAA
rnacentral:rRNA from 9 species